UACGUAGGUGGCAAGCGUUGUCCGGAAUUAUUGGGCGUAAAGCGCGCGCAGGCGGCCUCUUAAGUCUGAUGUGAAAGCCCCCGGCUCAACCGGGGAGGGCCAUUGGAAACUGGGAGGCUUGAGUAUAGGAGAGAAGAGUGGAAUUCCACGUGUAGCGGUGAAAUGCGUAGAGAUGUGGAGGAACACCAGUGGCGAAGGCGACUCUUUGGCCUAUAACUCCGGACAACGCUGAGGCGCGAAAGCUAGGGGAGCAAACAGG
rnacentral:misc_RNA from 1 species